rnacentral:rRNA from 1 species
UCAUUCAGUUGGGGACUCGCAGGAGACUGCCGGGGUCAACUCGGAGGAAGGUGGGGAUGAGGUCAAGUCAUCAUGCCCCUUAUGCCCAGGGCCGCAAACACGCUACAAUGGCCGGUACAGAGGGCUGCAAUCCCGCGAGGGUGAGCGAAUCCCACAAAGCCGGUCUCAGUUCGGAUUGGAGUCUGCAACUCGACUCCAUGAAGCCGGAGUUGCUAGUAAUCCUGGAUCAGCACGCCAGGGUGAAUACGUUCCCGGGCCUU